rnacentral:ncRNA from 1 species
UAUUAAGUUUGAUUUUGGUUUUGGAUGUAUUAAGAUAGUAUUACUUAUUUUUAGUUUAUUUAGUGUGUAAUUUUUUGUUCACUGGUAGUUUUUUGAUUGUUUUAUUAGUGUUCCAGAAUAAUCGGCUAUACAUUUUAAUUUUUAACUCUAUUUGUUGUAAUGCUCUUUUUUAUUUUUUAUUUUUUAUUUUAUUUUUUGUAAAAUAUUUUAAUUUUAGUUUUAUUUAUUAAGAGAGUUUUAAAAAUUUGUUUUUUGAACUGGAUUAGUACCCAGGUAAACAAAAUUUAUUAAUUCGGGAGUAAAGUUUUUUUUAAACCGAAAAAAUAUUGACUGACUUUGGAUUUUUCUUUGGAACAUGUGAUUGGAGAGCCCUCCUUUUUAGUUAUUUUUAUUGGCUCAUGUAUGAUUGUUUAAUUUUUAUUAUAUUUGUAAUGUUUUUUAUUUUGUUAGUAUUAAAAACAGAUAUAUACUUGGCUUAUGAACUAAUUUUUCAUGUGUUACUAUUAUUAAUUUUUUUCGGAUUAUUUUUUUAAUUUUAAUUUGAAGUUGGAAAAGAAAGUAAUUUUUUUUUUAUGUUAUAAUGAAUUUAAUAAACAGAGUGGUACAAACCAUCCGUCAAUGGCCUAAAGGGGCGUAAGUUGUAGUAUGGUAGAGGUAAGGAAACUUGUUUCUAUGUUUU